GGGUCAGUAGGUUGGUCGUGCCACCGGUACGUACUGGUCUCACUGAUUCCUCCUUCCUGAAGAACUGUAAUGCCAUUAAUUUGGUGUUGCGGGGAAACAGGACUGUUACUUUGAAAAAAUUAGAGUGUUUAAAGCAAGCUAACGCUUGAAUGCAUUAGCAUGGAAUAAUGAAAUAGGACGUUCGAACCUAUUUUGUUGGUUUCUAGGAUUGACGUA
rnacentral:rRNA from 1 species